GCCCCGGUAAACGGCGGCCGUAACUAUAACGGUCCUAAGGUAGCGAAAUUCCUUGUCGGGUAAGUUCCGACCUGCACGAAUGGCGUAAUGAUGGCCAGGCUGUCUCCACCCGAGACUCAGUGAAAUUGAACUCGCUGUGAAGAUGCAGUGUACCCGCGGCAAGACGGAAAGACCCCGUGAACCUUUACUAUAGCUUGACACUGAACAUUGAGCCUUGAUGUGUAGGAUAGGUGGGAGGCUUUGAAGUGUGGACGCCAGUCUGCAUGGAGCCGACCUUGAAAUACCACCCUUUAAUGUUUGAUGUUCUAACGUUGGCCCGUAAUCCGGGUUGCGGACAGUGUCUGGUGGGUAGUUUGACUGGGGCGGUCUCCUCCUAAAGAGUAACGGAGGAGCACGAAGGUUGGCUAAUCCUGGUCGGACAUCAGGAGGUUAGUGCAAUGGCAUAAGCCAGCUUGACUGCGAGCGUGACGGCGCGAGCAGGUGCGAAAGCAGGUCAUAGUGAUCCGGUGGUUCUGAAUGGAAGGGCCAUCGCUCAACGGAUAAAAGGUACUCCGGGGAUAACAGGCUGAUACCGCCCAAGAGUUCAUAUCGACGGCGGUGUUUGGCACCUCGAUGUCGGCUCAUCACAUCCUGGGGCUGAAGUAGGUCCCAAGGGUAUGGCUGUUCGCCAUUUAAAGUGGUACGCGAGCUGGGUUUAGAACGUCGUGAGACAGUUCGGUCCCUAUCUGCCGUGGGCG
rnacentral:rRNA from 1 species